UACGGAGGGUGCAAGCGUUAUCCGGAUUUACUGGGUUUAAAGGGAGCGCAGGCGGAUUGGUAAGUCAGUGGUGAAAUACUUGGGCUUAACCCGGGAACUGCCAUUGAUACUAUCAGUCUUGAAUAUCGUUGAGGUUUGCGGAAUGGGUCAUGUAGCGGUGAAAUGCAUAGAUAUGACCCGGAACACCUAUUGCGAAGGCAGCAGGCUAAACGAAGAUUGACGCUGAGGCUCGAAAGCGUGGGGAUCAAACAGGAUUAGAAACCCGGGUAGUCC
rnacentral:rRNA from 1 species